rnacentral:lncRNA from 1 species
GUUCCCUGGGGCCUAGCCAACCGCGGGCAGGGCUGGGCAAGGCGGGAGGAGCGCGGACCCAAGAUCGGCUACGCUGCGUCUGCUCAGGCUGCGAGUUCCCGGCUCUGGGGACUCACCUUGCGGAGCUUACCCAGGCGGACUCUCCGCAGCCCCUGAUGGGUGUGUGUGUCAGACCGUUUACUAAACACCAGGACUGUUGUAGGCGACUGUAAGAAAUAAGAAUAUUGCAUGGUUACAAUUCUUGAAUGCUUACCUUGUGUCUUGUUCCUUACUCUACAGAAAUUUUCUAAUCCCGUGGCGAACCCCCGUACUUCAACGUAUGACAUUCUGUAAAUCUACAAAACAGAUGGGUCCCUGCCUUUGAGAAGUUUUUACAAUUUAGUGGGUACUGGACACGGACCUAAUUUAAUUCUCACAUGCCUUCCCUUUCUAAUAAGCUGCAUGUUAUGUAUCCCUAUUCUACAGAUGUGGGGAAUCCGAAAUUUUUAGCUUUUACUGGGACACACAGCUAGCAAGCAACUAAAGCGAGAAUUCCAACCUGAGCUCCAAUCCGAACUAUUUUCAUAAAAGGCAGGAUCCCAGGCUGAGGGAGUUCGAGGUUUGGGAGACAGUUUAGCAGUCGCUGAGUCCAAACAUGUUGUUUUCCUAGAAAAGAAAACUGAGAUCCAGGAAAGGGAAGUGAUUUUCCAAAGACACACCUGUGAAAGGUGAGGAGAACAGCCCAGUGAGGCUGAGGCCACACAAUUAACCCCAGUCUUUGCACUACAACUCUACCAGGGAUCCUGGUUUGGCUCAUUUUCUUUCUUCUGCACCAUGAUUGUUCACCUUUUCAUUACCAGCAACAUACCCAAAGACCUAGCUAUAGACUCGUUGGAAUCUGUUACUUAGCAGCUGUGUGAAUCAAGUGUUCAAUAGGAAUAAUAAGAUGUAUUCAUCUUACCUUUUCAGAACAUUAUGAAGAACAAAUGUGGUAAGACAUAUGAAAAUGCUUUGUAAAGUGUUAGAUGCUUAAUACACAGAAGACAUUGCUUCCAGAUCUGUUUCAACGUACCCCAAGAAUGGAAUAAGUGGAAUAUGCUGGUUUCAUGCACUGUGGCAAGGGGGUCUCAUCUUGGCUAGACUUGAAUAAGUGGAUUUGUUGCCUGGCCUCUGUGGAUGGCUCUUUCUCUGGGCUUUUGUGUAUUUGAUUUUUUAUUUGCUCCAGCAGCCGUGUUGAACCAUGAAAGGACCUCAGGAAUGAAACCCACACACAGCAAAGCAACAAAGUGAAAGAAGCGUGGAUUCCUAAUGCAGGAGGCACUGAACCAAUCAAUACCCACUGCCCUCCAGACCUCCACAUGAAAGAAAAAAACUGCUGUCCUGUGAAGAAGACACUCCCCAGAUGCCAGCAACUUGAUAUUGGACUUCCUGCCUUUAGAAACAUUCCUUUAAGCCUCUCUGAAACUUGACCCUCUGGCAGGAACAGGUGCCAUUACAUACAGACACUCUCUCUCUUCCAAAUUCACCCUGUCAUAUCAAAGGGAAAACUGAAGUGGUCCACUGUAGACCUGACAGAUGAUCACAAACAGGAAACCAGCAAUCAGAAGUGCCUACUGAGCUCCCUACCCUGACCAUCACCUACAGCUACAUUUUACAGAUACAAAAUCAUUGUUUGUUCAACUUUCAUAUCAAAGGAUGCUAUUAGUUCAUUUCCAAAGGUGGGAAAAUGUUUCAACUUACUUUAUUACUUGUCUGCUACUUACUAUUUUCCCUCCGUUUGCCUGCCUGACUUCUUUUAACUCUUCACUCAACAAAUAUCUACUGACUACUGAGCACUUGCCAAGUGCUAGGCCAGAGCUGGAUGCUGUACUACGGGCAGAUGAAGUGCUAUGGGCAUCCAGAGGUGGAAGAAGAGGGUAUAGCGAAAGGGGAGAAAAGGCUGCAACAAUAUUCACUGAGCCCUGUGCUCCCAGGUCAUCACAUAGACUAUGUCAUUAUUCCUCCUAACCACCCACAUGAGUAAAUAGGGGCUAUUACUGAAGAAACAGAGGCUUACAAAGGUUGAGCAACUUGCCCAAGGUCAUCUAUCACAAGACACUACAAGUCAGACUGCUGAAGAGGGAGUUUCUGCUGAGAAGCUGAAGUGGGCAGCUCAUAUUGGAUAUGAAGGCUUCAAAGGAAUCUAAAUCCUAAUGAUCCCUCUAGAGCCAACAUGCAGCACCAGUUUUCUCUUCCACAUUUGAACUGCUCAUCCACUUCCGGCUCCAAGACCUCACUCUCCAUCUAAACUAGUCCCACGCCAUCCAUAUCUUUCUCCACUAACGCCACCCAAUCACAACCCCACAGCCUCUUAGUCAUGAGUCAUUUUUUAAAAACUGCAAACCAUGUAAUGAGCCAUGGCAAUAUGCAACCCUAAACCUCAACACGUGUUUUCCACAACAAGGCCACAGGUGGCAGAAGCGAGCCUAAGGCCGUAGGACACUAAGGCAGGACUCUCUGGCUUGAGCUUUCCAAAAAGGGAGGUGAGAGAAGGUCUACCUGCGGGAAGUCAUGCUGAAGGCCUGAGGCUGAGUCAAAGAAGGAGCCCCCUGGAGGCUCUGCAGUUCCUGGACUUCAGGUAGAGGAACUCUGCCAUGAACACCUCUGGAAUCGUGUCAUUUUGGGACAAUUAGAGAAUAUCAGUUUUCAGACUGAGUUCUAUGGGAAGGUGCCUGCACAACAAAGGAGAGACGGAAUGGACUUCAGGUCUUCCAAAAUACCCCUCAUGUUCACCAAGUUGCUCUCUGCUCUAAGAUACCAGAUGAGGGGGCCAGUGGGGACUGAAACCCAGUCCCCAGUCUGCUGGCCAAUCCCUUUGCCUGUGAGGCUGCUCUGUCCUACCAGAGAGGGCACUUUUCAUAAUUUGCACCAAGUACAGAAUAGGAUAGUGUAGCUUUACCCUUCUCCCUACCAUCAACCACAGACACAUCAACACAUGCACACAUACAGCCACACAAAUAUACCUACAGGCAUACACAUACAACACAGGCACAUACAUGUUUGCACAAAGUCACAUGUAGACACAAACGCAGAGCACACAGACACAAACACAGGCACAAACCCAUACUUACACUACACACACACACAAACACACACAGACACACAAAUGCAAAUUAAGCCACAAUGUAGCACAUAGAGAUAUAGACACAGACGCAAAUACAGUCACAUAGAGAUAUAGACACACACUUAUACACACAUAUAUGUAAAUAUACAGUCUCAUUCACUUUAUACCACACAUGUAUAAACAUACACAAUUGUAUGUAGACACACAUACACAUAGGUACUCAGACCGCAUAGAUACAUAUGUACACACAUACAAAUAUAUGCACAUACACAGAUAUAUAUAUACACACAUGCAUCUUUAACCAGAACAACUUUACUUUUGUCAGUUUUAUAUGACAGAGUCUUUAAAAAAAGAUUUCAUCUGGCUUGUGUUCUACUAUUAAAAGAGAAAAUGAAUUUGCUUGUUUCAAGGAUUCAUGUUUCUUUCAUUAAUCAAUCAGAUACUUGAUGACAAUAUAUAGAAAUAAAAUGACAGUGAGGAGUAUG